AUGCUAGCUUUGGCAGCACGCAUACUAAAAUUGGAAUAAUACAGAAAAGAAUAGCAUGGCCCCUGCACAAGGAUGACAAUGCAAAUUUGUGAGAUGUUCCAUAUUUUU